CCUACGGGAGGCUGCAGUGAGGAAUAUUGGUCAAUGGACGAGAGUCUGAACCAGCCAAGUAGCGUGAAGGAUGACUGCCCUAUGGGUUGUAAACUUCUUUUAUAUGGGAAUAAAACGUUCCACGUGUGGGAUUUUGUAUGUACCAUAUGAAUAAGGAUCGGCUAACUCCGUGCCAGCAGCCGCGGUAAUACGGAGGGUCCGAGCGUUAUCCGGAUUUAUUGGGUUUAAAGGGAGCGUAGGUGGAUUGUUAAGUCAGUUGUGAAAGUUUGCGGCUCAACCGUAAAAUUGCAGUUGAAACUGGCAGUCUGGAGUGCAGGAGAGGUGAGCGGAAUUCGUGGUGUAGCGGUGAAAUGCGUAGAUAUCACGAAGAACUCCGAUUGCGAAGGCAGUUCACUGGACUGCAACUGACACUGAGGCUCGAAAGUGUGGGUAUCAAACAGGAUUAGAUACCCCAGUAGUC
rnacentral:rRNA from 1 species